GAUGAAGAACGCAGCGAAAUGCGAUAAGUAAUGUGUAUUGCAGAAUUCAGUGAAUCAUCGAAUCUUUGAACGCACAUUGCGCCCCUUGGUAUUCCGAGGGGCAUGCCUGUUCGAGCGUCAUUAUAACCCCUCAAGCUCAGCUUGGUGUUGGGGCCUGCUGCACUGGCAGCCCUUAAAAUCAGUGGCGGCGCCAUCUGGCUCUAAGCGUAGUAAUUCUUCUCGCUAUGGAGUCCUGGUGGAUGCUUGCCAUCAACCCCCAAUUUUUCUAUGGUUGACCUCGGAUCAGGUAGGGAUACCCGCUGAACUUAAGCAUAUCAAUAAGCGGAGGA
rnacentral:misc_RNA from 1 species